UCCCAGGUGGCUCAGUGGUAAAGAAUCUGCCUGCCAAUACAGGAGACACGGGUUCGAUCCCUGAUCUGGGAA
rfam:TPA: Bos taurus chromosome 13, whole genome shotgun sequence.